AGAAAUCCAAUGACUUGUCAGCCAGAGUAACGGCUGUUGUCAGGUCUUCAGGGUCUCGAGGUCGGUUUCUUCCUAACGCCGCCAACCCCAAGCUAAGGUAGACAUGAUCGCCAAGGCAGCUGAUUGUCCCAAGGAAUAAGUAUGAGCAAUGAGCACAGAGGGAAAAUCAUGAAACAUCUGAGGACCAUGAGAACUGCUAAAACAAUACGUAGAACUAGCUAUACCAGAGAAAGUCAAGUGAAUGGAUCAGACAAUAAGAAUUGAAAAUAAGCUUAAUAGAGCUUCAGAGAAAGAAGGGAGAAUGUUGGAAACACAAAGCACAAACAAGCAUUUGUGAAUUGGAUGUUGACAAAUAUUAAUGAAAUAACUCAAUGGAUGGGUUGAAUAUAGCUGGACAGUUCACUCAUGAACCGGAAGAUUAGAGCAAGGAAGGAACUAAGAAAUGGAAAGCAUGAAAGGAGAGUUAAGAAAUGUGGAAGGUAGAAGCAUAAAUAUUUUUCUAAUGGAAAUUCCAGAAGGGGAAAAAAAGAACAUGUGAAAGAAUUAUUGCUGAGAAUUUCCCAGAAUUGAAGACAUACUUUAGAAUGAAAAAGGCCAACUCUAACUUUGGGAUUUCUAGCUUCAGAGAAAUGAAAAUUUAGAAUGACCAAGGGGA
rnacentral:lncRNA from 1 species